UUAGCCUAAAUAUAAUCUUGUCAUGGUGUGACCUGCAUACGUAGGUUGAGUGCAGGCUGUAGUGUGAAUAGCACACAUAGGUUGUGUGCUUGCUGUGUGUGAGAACAGGGCACAUGAGUUGUGUGCAGCAAUCUCCAAGUUGGCUUUGACUAGCAGUCCCCAAGUUGGAUUUGACCAGCCAUCUCCAAGAUUGGUUUUGCUUAGUAGAAGCCAACUAGACAUUAGUUGUCUAGGUCGGUUACUGUAGCACCGACCUAAAGCCUCUAUAUAAGGAGAGGCACCCCAUAUGGAGAAAAAAUUGUAAGCCAAGAUGUAGCAUAUGUUGCUAUAUAAUAGUGGAAGAGCAUUUGUUGCUCAAGCAAGUUUC